ensembl:lncRNA
AAUCAGUUUGCAGCAAGCAGAAAAACAGGAAUGGGGAGUAACCCGACUAACAAUGCAGGAACAACAUAAAGAAUACAGGAAGCUGCAGAGACGAGAAAUGAAACUUAACUGAGACCGACGGUUGCAGCCAAGAUGAGUCCAGGGUAUGCUAUCCAAGUCCCGCUGUUGUCGAUCAGACUCACAUUGGGAUCAGUUGACAAAUAGGACCUUGGUUUAACGGAGGGUCCGAGGGACCGCUCCGGCCUUCGUCUCCUGUCUCCGCUGGAGGGUCCGAGGGACCGCUCCGGCCUUUGUCUCCUGUCUCCGCUGGAGGGUCCGAAGGACCGCUCCGGCCUUUGUCUCCUGUCUCCACUGGAGGGUCUGCAGCGCCUCUGGCUUCCACGCCGCCGCCUGCAGCGCCUCCGGCUCUGGCUUCCACGCCACCGCCUGCAGCGCCGCCGCCUGCAGCUCGUCAUCCUCGCCUGGCCCAGCCUCCGUGUCUUCAGCGUCGCCUGGUCCAGCCUCCAUGUUUUCAGCGUCGCCUGGUCCAGCCUCCGUGUCUCCGCCUUCAGUGUCGCCUGGCCCUGCCUCGUUUGGGUCUGCAGCUAAACGGCCGCUUUCUAGGCCGCUGGCCAGGCAACUGGCCAGGCGCCAUCGCCGUCGUGGGCAGUUCCCAGACCCUCUUUGCCUGAGUGGCCGCCGUGGCCCUCCGCACGGCCGGCUCCGGCUUCCACGCCGCCGCCUGCAGCGCCUCCGUCUCCGGCUUCCACGCUGCCGCCUGCAGCGCCGUCUGGUCCAGCUGCAGCCUCGUCAUCCUCGCCUGGUCCAGCUGCAGCCUCGUCAUCCUCGCCUGGCCCAGCCUCCGUGUCUUCAGCGUCGCCUGGUCCAGCCUCCGUGUUUUCAGCGUCGCCUGGUCCAGCCUCCGUGUCUCCGCCUUCAGUGUCGCCUGGCCCUGCCUCGUUUGGGUCUGCAGCUAAACGGCCGCUUUCUAGGCCGCUGGCCAGGCAACUGGCCAGGCGCCAUCGCCGUCGUGGGCGGUCCCCAGACCCUCUUCGCCUGAGUGGCCACCGUGGCCUUCCGCACGGCCGGCCCCCGGACCGCCAUCGCCUGAGUGGCCGCCAUUGCCUUCCGCACGGCCGGCCCCCAGACCCUCCUCGCCUGAGUGGCCGCCGUUGCCGUCCGCACGGCCAGCUCCCAGACCCUCUUCGCCUGAGUGGCCGCCGUUGCCUUCCACACGGCCGGCUCCCGGACCAGUGCUGUCGCCGUUGCCUUCCGCACGGCCGGCCCCCGGACCAGUGCUGUCGUCGUCGCCGUUGCCUUCUGCACGGUCGGCCCCCUGAACUGUUUGGACUCCUGUGCUGGCCGGCCCCCUGACCUUUUCUGUUUUGGACUCUGUUUUCCUGUGCUCUGGUGUGCUUCUUUUCUUUUGGUUUGGACUCGUGUUUUGUUUUUAUUUUUGUCUUUUGGCCUUCUAGUGCUCCUGUUUUGUUUUGCCUUUGUUAGUUUUACCCAGUUUAGGUUCCAGUUUCAUGUUCCCAGUGCCUUUGUUGUUUGUUUUUCCCUUCGUUAAUAAAUACUCACCUGCACCAGAGCUGCCGCGUCCUGGUCCUAAAUAUUCCACACGGCUUGCCCUGGCAAACCGUGACAACGUUAUUGUUUCGGUGAAGUGAAUUUCUACAAUACUGUUACUGUUAAUUGUUCUCUCUGCACUGUUUAAAUGCUUACAUAUACACACACAGUUACUGUCCCUCCACACAUACGACUCGGUUCUGCUUCUAUCCCCCAUCUUUGUUUACUAUUUCCCACCGAGGCUUCUAGACUUCUGAUUGGCCAACAUUUCUACACAGUUAGGAAUAUAUCGCCACCUGUUGCUUUGGCAUGUUCUUAGCAGCGUUUUCCUUCAUUUUUGCGUUUACAUGUGGACGGGAUUAUUUUUUUUAAACGAAAACGGAAAAUCUCCGUUUUCAAAAAUACCUGUUUACAUGUGGACGUAGCCUUAGAUUACGAUGACCUGGAUGACUGAGAACCUUCACAGACACUAUGCUCAAAGCAGUUCAGCUCUGGUGUUUUCUCUGUAUUAUUUCAAAGUGUUUACCUUAUUACCAAAUCACAACAACAGUCACCUCAAGGUGCUUUAUAUUUAAAGCGUGACUGUUGUGAUUUAGUGUUAUACAAAUAAAAUGUAAUUGAAUUUAACUGAACAGAAUCUAACACCAAUAAAAUGCCUAUAUAUUACAGAGGAAAACAUUGCUAAGAAUAAGUCAAUGAGAUUUUGUUUUGUUAACACCAGAACAUGCAAUUGAAAAUAUACUGAAGUGAAUUAAUAUACCUCUAUAAAGACUAAAAACUGUAUGGCUAUUUUUAAAUUGAGCUGCUGAAAGUAAACGGUUUAUUUAAGUCUGUCUAACCCGGAAUGUGCCCCACUUAGUUUGCCAGUGCUGGUUACUAGCAUCAGCAUGGAAGUGGAAAUCUAAGUUGCAAAAACACUUGAAAUGCACUUUCUAUGAAGUAUGAGACAUUUUGUAUCCAAUAAUAGUAGUUUUGAGAAUUAAAUUAAAUGUACAUUGCUUCUCUUCACAUCCCCAACUAAGUACUUCACUAAUCUAUCUUUACUGUUAUAUCUUAUUAGUAUUUUAAGUAUUCUAUCUAUUUUAUUUAUUGAAUUUUAUUGUUUUAUUUAUAUUUUGAUAUUGCUAGGGAUGAUGCAAUGAUCGGGGACCAUUCUUAAUUUCGUUGUUCUCAUGACAAUGACAAUAAAGUUUCUGAUUCUGAAGAUUAAA